rnacentral:lncRNA from 1 species
AUGGUAGACAGGACCUUCAGAAAACUUCAGAGCAGACAUGAGACUGCAGAACUGCAAGGUGAACACAUUGGCAUCCUCUCUCCAUAUCUGGUCCCUGAGGCUUGUUUCCCACCAUUCACAGGUAUGUCUGUCUCAGAUUGCACCCAAAAAGAUACAGUAGUUAUUUGGCAAGAUGAAAUCAAGGCACACAAAGAAAAGGCUUCUGAGAAUCCAUUGAGAGGCUUUCAGGCCCUCAGAAGUUGUACCAACCAGAAUCCACUCUCAACUACCUUGGGCAUGUGCCUGCUUUGA